rnacentral:rRNA from 1 species
UACGGAGGGUGCUAGCGUUGUUCGGAAUCACUGGGCGUAAAGGGCGCGUAGGCGGCGCCGCAAGUCGGCGGUGAAAGCUCGGCGCCUAACCCCAGAGGUGCCGCCGAGACUGGGGGGCUGGAGGCCGGAAGAGGAGGGUGGAAUACCCAGUGUAGAGGUGAAAUUCGUAGAUAUCGGGUGGAACACCGGUGGCGAAAGCGGCUCGCUGGGUCGGUCCUGACGCUGAGGCGCGAGAGCGUGGGGAGCAAACAGG